rnacentral:ncRNA from 1 species
UAGUGAAGUGGGGAAAUAUUCCAUGUGAACAUAACUUGGACAUGGCCGAUUAGUUGAUCCUAAGAGAUGGGGAAUUCUUGUAUCAAGGGUGCACUCUGCACCAGGACAUGAUGGUGGACGACAAUGUUAGGAAAUCUGGAGAUGUCAUUGGGGGCCUGGGAAGAGUUAUCUUUUCUUUUUAAUGACUUUCCCACCCUGAAAUCAGUUCAACUGGAGAUAAGAUACAACCUAUGAAAGAGCACCACACGUCUUGUGUUUUUUGGUUCCCCCUUGGUGGCCAUUGUAAAUAUGGUGAACCGAGUACCAUCCAUGCCCGAUCGUACUCAUAUAUGCCUCCUUGGGUUUUUCAAUGUCCACUA